rnacentral:tRNA from 1 species
CAUUGAAUAGCUCAGUGGUAAGAGCAGUCGCCCGGCAAGCGAAAGACUCGGGUUCGAUUCCCGAUUCAGCGA